UACGUAGGGUCCGAGCGUUGUCCGGAAUUAUUGGGCGUAAAGAGCUCGUAGGCGGUUUGUCGCGUCUGCUGUGAAAUCCCGAGGCUCAACCUCGGAUCUGCGGUGGGUACGGGCAGACUAGAGUGAUGUAGGGGAGACUGGAAUUCCUGGUGUAGCGGUGAAAUGCGCAGAUAUCAGGAGGAACACCGGUGGCGAAGGCGGGUCUCUGGGCAACUACUGACGCUGAGGAGCGAAAGCCGUGGGGAGCGAACAGG
rnacentral:rRNA from 1 species